CGCGGGGUGGAGCAGCUUGGUAGCUCGUCGGGCUCAUAACCCGGAGGUCGCAGGUUCAAAUCCUGCCCCCGCCACCA
rnacentral:tRNA from 1 species